UAGCUCAGUGGUAGAGCUUGGGCUUAGUAUGCACAAGGACCUGGGUUCAAGUCUCAG
rnacentral:tRNA from 1 species